UAGGGAAUCUUCGGCAAUGGACGAAAGUCUGACCGAGCAACGCCGCGUGAGUGAAGAAGGUUUUCGGAUCGUAAAACUCUGUUGUUAGAGAAGAACAAGGACGUUAGUAACUGAACGUCCCCUGACGGUAUCUAACCAGAAAGCCACGGCUAACUACGUGCCAGCAGCCGCGGUAAUACGUAGGUGGCAAGCGUUGUCCGGAUUUAUUGGGCGUAAAGCGAGCGCAGGCGGUUUCUUAAGUCUGAUGUGAAAGCCCCCGGCUCAACCGGGGAGGGUCAUUGGAAACUGGGAGACUUGAGUGCAGAAGAGGAGAGUGGAAUUCCAUGUGUAGCGGUGAAAUGCGUAGAUAUAUGGAGGAACACCAGUGGCGAAGGCGGCUCUCUGGUCUGUAACUGACGCUGAGGCUCGAAAGCGUGGGGAACAAACAGG
rnacentral:rRNA from 2 species